rnacentral:lncRNA from 1 species
GUUGUUUAUUUCUAUGUCAUUUUUUCUCUUGUGGAGAACUGUCUCUUUGGCAAUCCUACCACAUCUUCUUUUUUUGUAAUCAAUGAAAUUUUGUAAAAGAUUUAAUGACUGGAGAAUUUCAGAAAAGGUAUCAAAAGUCAAAGAUACCUUGGGACAGGACACUUGUUUUAUAGCACGGCUCAUCCUUUUCCCCCAAAAUUCCCC